GGAGAGGUGCCAGAGCGGUUGAAUGGGCCGGUCUCGAAAACCGGAAUAGGGGCAACUCUAUCGUGGGUUCGAAUCCCACCCUCUCCGCCA
rnacentral:tRNA from 3 species